AGGAGACACCAUUUAUCGAGCUCUCACACUCGCUGAUCUACUACGCGCUGUGUGUCCAGGCUGGAGUUCCUAUGUCACUCAAGUGGACCCAGCCCUCAAGUGGAAGCUCAGAACAGGGAGGUGAUUCAUUCAAGUUUCCUCAGCUGGGACAUGAUGAAGAUGAAAUCAUACCCAGACCCCACCACUGCGUAGUCAACGCCAGAUGGCUCCUUCCAUUUCUCUGCACCAACUGUCUUGCCCAAUAUGUGUCAUGUGGUAGGCACCUAGUGAAUAUUUAUGAUGGAAUGGGAAAAAACACAAGGGCUUGAAGGGAAGGAGAUGUGGGUCCAGAACCUUGUCUCUAGAGCUUUGCAUGGGACCUUGAGGGAAAGGUCGAAAUCCCUGACUGGCAUAUACAGCUGAUGAUAAUAGUAAUUCUCGAUUCAUAGCUCUGCUGGGAAGAUGGAUGAGACUCCAUGAGACCAUGAGUACUGAGCCUGGCACACAGUCAGCCCUGACAGAGUGUUGGUGUGGAAAAGAGAUGGAGAAAA